CCGCUAUUGGAGUUCGAUUAAGCCAUGCGAGUCUAGAGGCCUAGCCUCGGCGUACCGCUCAGUAACACGUGGGUAACCUGCCCUAUGCUGGAGAAUAACCUCGGGAAACUGAGAAUAAUGCUCCAUAGUCCACAAUGCCUGGAACGGUUUGUGGAUAAAAGCUCCGGCGGCAUAGGAUGGGCCUGCGCCGUAUCAGGUUGUAGGGGGUGUAAAGUACCCUCUAGCCAUCAACGCGUACGGGUGUUGAGAGACAUUGCCCGGAGAUGGAUCCUGAGACACGAAUCCAGACCCUACGGGGUGCAGCAGGCGCGAAAACUUGGCAAUGCGAGAAAUCGUGACCAGGGAACUCCAAGUGUCUAGGUUAAUACCUAGUCUUUUCUUGACUCUUCAAAGGUCUAGGAAUAAGGGGUGGGUAAGGGCGGUGCCAGCCGCCGCGGUAAUACCGGCGCCUCAAGUGGUAGUCGCUUUUAUUGGGCCUAAAACGUCCGUAGCCGGUUUGGUACAUUCGUGGGUAAAUCAAUCCGCUCAACGGAUUGAAUUCUGCGAGCACGGCCAGACUUGGGACCGGGAGAGGUGUGGGGUACUCUCAGGGUAGGGGUAAAAUCCUGUCAUCCUGAGAGGACCACCUGUUGCGAAGGCGCCACACUAGAACGGAUCCGACGGUCAGGGACGAAACCUAGGGGCACGAACCGGAUUAGAUACCCGGGUAGUCCUAGGUGUAAACGCUGUGGACUUGAUGUUGGGGGCGCUCCGAGCGCUUUCAGUGUCGAAGCGAAGGUGAUAAGUCCACUGCCUGGGGAGUACGGUCGCAAGGCUGAAACUUAAAGGAAUUGGCGGGGGAGCACUGCAACCUGAGGAUUGUGCGG
rnacentral:rRNA from 1 species